CCUGGUGGCUCAGUUAGUAAAGAAUCUGCCUGUGAUGCAGGAGACCCAGGUUCAAUCCCUGGGUCAGGA
rnacentral:tRNA from 1 species